UACGUAGGGGGCUAGCGUUGUCCGGAUUUAUUGGGCGUAAAGAGCGUGUAGGCGGCCAUGUAGGUCCGGUGUGAAAACUCGAGGCUUAACCUCGAGAUGUCAUCGGAAACCAUUUGGCUAGAGUCCGGAAGAGGAGAGUGGAAUUCCUGGUGUAGCGGUGAAAUGCGCAGAUAUCAGGAAGAACACCAAUGGCAAAGGCAGCUCUCUGGGACGGUACUGACGCUGAGACGCGAAAGCGUGGGGAGCGAACAGG
rnacentral:rRNA from 1 species